rnacentral:snoRNA from 17 species
CCCUCCUACAAAGGCGUGUCUUUGGUUCCCUGUCUUUGGACACGUAAGAACUGGAGGAAAAGAAUUGUGGAUUUGGGGAAGUCUGGGGCCAGCUUGCUCCUCGCGGGCUCAGAUCAGUCAUCCCACAUAG